AAUAGAUACCCCGGUAGUCUUGGCCAUAAACGAUGUUCACUAGGUGUUGGGGGUUUCCCUCGGUGCCGCAGCUAACGCAUUAAGUGAACCGCCUGGGGACUACGGCCGCAAGGUUGAAACUCAAAGGAAUUGGCGGGGGCCCGCACAAGCGGUGGAGCAUAUGGCUUAAUUCGAUGCAACGCGAAGAACCUUACCAGGACUUGACAUGCUACUGCAAGCCGCCGAAGAGUGGUCGCCUUCGAGGGUGUAGCACAGGUGGUGCAUGGCUGUCGUCAGCUCGUGUUGUGAAAUGUUGGGUUAAGUCCCGCAACGAGCGCAACCCUCAUGAUCUGUUGCCAGCGAGUAAUGUCGGGAACUCGGAUCAAACUGCCUCUGUAAAGAGGAGGAAGGUGGGGAUGACGUCAAGUCAUCAUGCCCCUUACGUCCUGGGCUGCACAUAUGCUACAAUGGCCGGUACAAAGAGUUGCGAAAGCGCGAGCUUGAGCUAAUCUCAAAAAGCCGGUCUCAGUUCGGAUUGG
rnacentral:rRNA from 1 species